rnacentral:lncRNA from 1 species
CCAUUACUAUGAAUAAAAUCACAUAUUUAUUUCCUUUGAUUUGGAUGCAAUAACUUCAACCUUCUAUAACUUCUUCAUCCAAACUCCAAAUUCAUCAAAUAGUAUAUGAAAAGUGUAGUCGAGGAAGUGCUCUCUUCAAUCUUAAUUGCUAAUCCUUUGUUGCUCUCCGUAAACGUAUGUUGUGCUCCAAAGAGUGGCAGUAGGUAUGAAAUUCAUAUCUUAACUUUGAGCACCAAUAACUCCUACAUAAAAACUCCAAAUCACACAAAAUUUGUACUUAAUUCAUAUCCAAAAAUCUAAACUUAAUGACCCUAGCCUCCAAAGCUCAAAUGACCUCGAAAGAGAAAUCCUAAUCCCUAAUAAGGCCUCGGGCAGCCUCCUUGAAGCCCAUUGGGCAUAGCUUUUGACCAAUAGGAAU